rnacentral:rRNA from 1 species
UACAGAGGGGGCAAGCGUUAUUCGGAAUUAUUGGGCGUAAAGGGUGCGUAGGUGGUGAGGUAAGUCGGAUGUGAAAGCUCGGAGCUCAACUCCGAAAUGGCAUUGGAAACUACCUUGCUCGAGGGUUGGAGGGGGGACUGGAAUGCUUGGUGUAGCAGUGAAAUGCGUAGAUAUCAAGCGGAACACCAGUGGCGAAGGCGAGUCCCUGGACAACUCCUGACACUGAGGCACGAAAGCUAGGGGAGCAAACAGG